GACGAACGCUGGCGGCGUGCUUAACACAUGCAAGUCGAACGGAAAGGCCUGCUUUCCCUUGUGGAUUGCGGGUGCUCGAGUGGCGAACGGGUGAGUAACACGUGAGUGAUCUGCCCCCAACUUGGGUAUAAGCCCGGGAAACUGGGUCUAAUUCCCGAUAGGACUGCAGGGUGGUGCCUGUGGUGGAAAACGAUUUUCUAGUGGUUGGGGAUGAGCUCGCGGCCUAUCAGCUUGUUGGUGGGGUAAUGGCCUACCAAGGCGGCGACGGGUAGCCGGCCUGAGAGGGUGGACGGCCACAUUGGGACUGAGAUACGGCCCAGACUCCUACGGGAGGCAGCAGUGGGGAAUAUUGCACAAUGGGCGGAAGCCUGAUGCAGCGACGCCGCGUGGGGGAUGACGGCCUUCGGGUUGUAAACUCCUUUCGACCGCGAGGAAGCCACCUGGUUGGAAGGGUGGUGACGGUAGUGGUAGAAGAAGCACCGGCUAACUACGU
rnacentral:rRNA from 1 species